rnacentral:lncRNA from 1 species
CAGUAAAUAGCAAGGGUAAACAAGUAAUUGUUCGAUUGAUUGAUUGGGGGGUUUUAAGACAUAUAUGGGAAACGUUAGACUUAGGGUUUCUAUUCAAACAAUCAUGAUUGUAGAGAUAUAGAUUACUAAGCAUAUAUGGAUAUUCUAGAACUCAAACAAUAAGAAUAGCCGAUCAACUUCCGUAUAUUUAGACUAUCUAUCGCCGGAUCUAAGACCUACCGGAUCUAAGACCUCAGCUGUCGCUUGUUGGUCCUGAGAAAGUGUCGAUCGAUUCCAACAACGGGGUGUCGAUCGAUACACCUUUCAGCC